UACGGGAAGGGGACUAGUCGUUGAUUCGGAAUUAGCUAGGGCGUAAAGGCUCGUAGGCGGCCAACUAAGUCGGAUGUGAAAUCCCCAGGCUCAACUUGGGAACUGCAUCCGAUACUGGAUGGCUGAAUUCGGGAGAGGGAUGCAGAUUCCAGGUGUAGCGGUGAAAUGCGUAGAUAUCUGGAGGAAUACCGGUGGCGAAGGCGGCAUCCUGGACCGAUAUUGACGCUGAGGAGCGAAAGCUAGGGGAGCAAACGGG
rnacentral:rRNA from 1 species